UUCUCUAAAAUUAAAGAAUUUGGCGGUAUUUUAGUCUAUUCAGAGGAACUUGUCCUAUAAUUGAUAGUCCACGAUUUAAUUAACUUAUUUUAAUAGUUUACAUAUCGUCGUGGUUGAAUAUUUUUUAAAAAUUAUAAUAUUCAAAAUUUUUUAUUAAGAAAAAAUUCAGAUCAAGAUGUAGCUUAUAAAUAAGAAGAGAUGAGUUACAAUAAAUUUAUUUAAAAUGAAUAAUAAUUUGAAAAUUUAUUUGAAGGUGGAUUUGAUAGUAAUUUUAAUUAAAUUAUUAAAAUGAUUUUAGCUCUAAAAUAUGCACAUAUCGCCCGUCAUUUUCACUAUAAAGUGAAACAAGUCGUAACAUAGUAGGUGUACUGGAAAGUGUACCUAGAAUGGCAAAUUAGAGCUUGUUAAAAAGCAUUUUAUUUACAUUAAAAAGUUUAUUGUGAAAAUCAAUAUAAUUUGAAUUUAAUUUGUUAAUAAUAUAUAAAAUUUUUAAUUAAUUUAUAUAAAUAAAUUUUUGGUUAUAUUAUUAAAAUGAAAUAAUUUAUUUAUUUAUAGAGUAAUAGUAUUGUAAAGAAAUUAAUUUUAAUUUUUUAUAGAAUAAUUUAUAUUUAGUACCUUGUGUAUCAGGGUUUAUUAAAUAAUAAUUAGAAAUUUAAUUUUCUCGAAUUUAAAAGAGCUAUAAAAUUAUAUUUUUUAUUGUAUUAUAAAUAUUAAUAAUAUUUUUAUAGUAAUGAAAUGUUAUUCGUUUUUAAAUAUAUCUAGUUUUUUAAGAAAUAAAUUUAAUUUAAUUAAUAUGAAUAUAUUUAUUUUAAUCUUUAAGUAAAUAUUAAUAUUAUUAAAUAUUUUAAGGGAUGAGCUUUAAAAUUGAUUUUUAUAGGUAAAUAAAGUUAUUAAAUAAAUAAGAUUAAAAGUUUCUAUUUUUUAAAUUAUGUUGUAAUUUUUUUAAUAAAAAAUAAAAUUUAUAUUUAUCUUAAAUGUUAUAUUAAAAAAUUAAUUUUAAUUUUAUUUAUUAAGUUAUAAUUAUGAAAUUAGUAUAAUAAUUAUAAAGUAAUAGUUAUUUAAAUUUAAGGUUAAGUAAAGGAAUUCGGCAAUAUAUUUUUCACCUGUUUAUUAAAAACAUGGCUUUUUGAUUAUAAUAUAAGGUCUGGCCUGCCCAAUGAAAUUUUUAAUGGCUGCAGUAUUUUGACUGUGCAAAGGUAGCAUAAUCAUUAGUUUUUUAAUUGAAAGCUGGAAUGAAAGGUUGAAUGAGAAAAUAACUGUCUUUAUUUAAAUUAAUUAAAAUUUUAUUUUUAAGUUAAAAAGCUUAAAUUUUUUUUGAAGACGAGAAGACCCUAUAGAGUUUUAUAAUUAAAAAUUUAAUUAUUUUAGAAUUAUAAG
rnacentral:rRNA from 1 species